AGACCAGUGCCGAGCUAUAUGCUUGAUUUAUUGUGCCAAGCCGUGCCUAGCCGGACCUUGGAGGGAGUUUGGAUUGAAAAUUCACUGGCAUGUGAAAUGUGAAGGUUUUAGAUUUGAAUUGGAGAUUUUUGAUUCAAGGUUGGAAUUUCAGAUGUGAUUUGAGGUGCGGAUCGUCGAUGAUUUACAUUGAGGGCGGUAGCUUCGUGGUUGCUCCGACUAGGAUUUUCUGACCACCAUUUCUCUGACUGCGAGGUGAUAAAAGGAUACUCACUAUUGGGACCCUGAUUACGGGACGAUUGUUCUGAUGUGAGGAUUGUUUAUCACAGACUACAGUUAAAGGCGGGUACCUCUUGACUUAUCUUUUAUGAUAUUAUCAUUGGAUAUGCAUAGUAUUUUAUAACUACAAGCAAUGAAUAUGUUCGUCUUUGGUAUGUCACUGUUUGAUAUCCAUAGCAUGUUAGGUUUGUCGCUUGUUAUGUAUUCGUGCUUAUAUCUCAUGAAUUGUUACCAUGAGUAUCUUAUUGCCAUGAGUACUCUAUUACCAUGAGUAUCUUAGUUUCUAGAGUGACAUACCAUGCU